rnacentral:rRNA from 1 species
AACGAACGCUGGCGGCAUGCCUAACACAUGCAAGUCGAACGAGACCUUCGGGUCUAGUGGCGCACGGGUGCGUAACGCGUGGGAACCUGCCCUUAGGUUCGGAAUAACUCCCCGAAAGGGGUGCUAAUACCGGAUAAUGUCUUCGGACCAAAGAUUUAUCGCCUUUGGAUGGGCCCGCGUUGGAUUAGCUAGUUGGUAGGGUAAAAGCCUACCAAGGCGACGAUCCAUAGCUGGUCGGAGAGGAGGACCAGCCACACUGGGACUGAGACACGGCCCAGACUCCUACGGGAGGCAGCAGUGGGGAAUAUUGGACAAUGGGCGAAAGCCUGGUCCAGCAAUGCCGGGUGAGAGAUGAAGGCCUUAGGGUUGUAAAGCUCUUUUACCCGGGAUGAUAAUGACAGUACCGGGAGAAUAAGCUCCGGCUAACUCCGUG